CCAAAGCUAGGUCAGUAUCCAUGUUCCAUUAAACAGUUGCAGGGAUCCCUGUGCCCCUGUGGCUGCAGAUGUAAUUAAGGAACCAGGUCUCCAGGCAACUAAGAAGCCGGACCUUCUCUUCUCUAUAGGACAUUCAGAGUGAGUGUGUAAUCCCCAAAUGUUGCAGCCCGUGGGAACACCAGGUGUGAGAGACACCAGGAGGAAGUCUCUAUAUUCCUAAUCUGUAUUCUAUCUAAACAGGACAAGGAUGAGACCCACUUUCUCAGGGACAUAGACAUUCACCAAGCUCUAAGCCAGUACCAGGAACAACACUAGUACUUACAGUCCUGUGUGGUCUCCAGGGGUCUCCGGGUCUCAGACACCUUCUUGUCUGAGCUGAAGAGCCCCGCGUCAGGGUCUACCUCCUCAUCAAAGAUGGUGAGCCGAGGUGCAGGCUUGGGCCUCACGGCCACUUCUGGGCGUUUCUUGGGCUUCUUGGAGCUGGAGAUAAAACACAAGGUGACUGGUGGUUUCAAUACGCUUGACCCAGGGAGCCUUGUUGGUGUGGCUUUGUUGGAGGAAGUGUGUCACUGUAGGGGUGGCUUUGAGGCCCUCCUCCUAGCUGCCCAGAAGACAGCAGUUUUUUCCUGUUUGCCUUUGGAACAAGAUGUAGAACUCUCAACUCUUCCACCACCAUGCCUGCCUGGAUGCUGCCAUGCUUCCCACUAUGAUGAUAAUGGACUGAGCCUCUGAACCUGUAAGCCAGUCCCAAUUAAAUGUUGUCCAUUAUGAGA
rnacentral:lncRNA from 1 species